GCAUGAGAACUGGUUUUAGUUACAUGCAGAAUUCCCUCCUUUAUUAGAAUUACCUGGUGAGCAAACACUCAUGAAACCUGGAGAAGAUUUCUGCUGUAUUCCCUUUCUUCAUUAUUUCACUAUCAGUACAUUUUAUGACUUAACAGCUUUAUAGGUACAUUUUAGAAACAAGUGGUGCUAUUACAUCUGCAGGGAUCAUCUGUUUCAUCUGUGUUAGCAGCAAUUCACUCAGACUUUAGUAAAGUCGCACACUGUCACAGUGCUUAGGUUUGAGUGCACAUGUGUUUGUGUGCAAUCAUUUGUGUGCUGUUUAAGGGUCAGGAUCUGCUCGAUCAGUUGUAGAGCUGGUUGGCUGAUCGGGUAGUGAGGCGGCAGCUUCACAAAGUAGCUGGAGGGAAGAAACAAGCAUCCUUCACCCCAAAUACUCAAUGCAGAUUAUUAUGGUCACAAUUUAACACAGCCCCUUAAUCUUGUGACUGAAGAUUAAGUUAAAUGUAAUGUAAAUGCUCCGUACUUGUAUAGCGCCUUUCUAGUCUUUUCGACCACUCAAAGCGCUUUUACACUACAUCUGCAAAGUUGGCACUGCAAUGUAGUGAUGGCCUCUCUGAGGUGGGAGUUUAAAAUAACCAAAAUGCAGACCAGCUUUUUCAGCUUUAAAGUGCUUGUUCUAGAGCCUUCAAUCUCAAACAGUCCUGAUCAGGUUUUUGGGCCCAGAUCCCGAUCAGAGACCUUUUAUUAUAGGUUUAUGUAGUGUUGAUUAAAUACAUGUGUAUAUAUUUAUAGAUCUGGCACGUUAAACACACCUUAUUUUUUACGAGCAAAUUGAUACAAUUACUAGAGAUCCUGAUUCAAUGAUAAAUGAAAUAUAUAUUAUUCAAAUGGUAAAUCAUGCAGUUGAACCAGGCUAAACUGAGUAAAAUACAAAAAACAGGCAAAAUACAUCAUAAGCAUUAGACACAUUUGUACCAUAUAUCAAAAUCAAAUUAAAUUGAUCAGUUCCUUAAAAUACUUUUUCAUAAUGUCAAACUAUCAUCAAACUCUGUCAUAUAGGAUCAAACCAUUUCUUUAACAUUAAAGCAAGGUUAUAAUCACAUCAAGCUACUUAAACCAAGUAAUUAUAAAUCAAUUAAUAACAGUAAUAUAAUUUCUAUAUGAUAAAUUUUUUCAGGUUAAGCAAAGAUAUGGCAUUAAAACUGUUUGUAAUUCAGCAUCCUCAAUCGUUUAUCAAUGAUCAAGAAUGAUUCUUAUUACAUUCUUAAAACAUAUAUUCAUCACUUGUUAUUACAUUUCACACAUUUUCUAGAGCUCAUUUAGUCAUUACCUAAAAAACAUCACACCAUGGUAGCUGCUGGCAGGAGGCCCAUUUCCUGUAAGUCUUCAGAUGCACGCUCCUGUGGUUAGCACCAAACUGCUGUGUUAGACUUUCUUGUCAUACUUUCCAUCAUGUAUUAAAACAAAAGUCCAUCUUCUAUCAUUUCAGAUUUAAAAAAUCAUGGUCAUCAUACAUGAUGAUGUAUAUAUACAUUUAAGCAGCAGAUUGAUUGAUUUAGCAAUGCUUACAAGCAGUUAUGGUCCAGCAACUGGUUAAUUCUGAGGAGAACAGACAGAGCGGCCGGAAACCUCUCAUCUGUGUCACGACAAAGCAAAGACUGCAACUGCCUGGCUCCAUCCAUAAAGGACCUGCAUCAAGCAUCUUCCUUCCUUCAUGGACUAGUAACGUACUGAUCAUGGCAGAGCUUCAUAUAGCUUAAAUGCAAAGACACCUGGCAAAGCACAAGACUUCUUUAGCUUGUGUACAUGGAUGUAUUUUUCAUUUGAAGUUUUAUUGCUGUGUGAUCAUUGUGGGUUGAUCUCAAGAUCAAGACCUUUUAUUACAGGUUUCUGCCAAUAUAUAGAUGUUUAGUGUUGAUUAAAUACAUGCAUAUAAUUGACAUUAAAAUAACAGAUGCGCCUACUAAAUUUGACACACCUUAUUUUUUACAAGCUACUUGAAACAAUUACUACAGGUUCUGAUUAAAAAUGAUUAAAAUGAUCAGUUUAAAUAAUUUAUAUAUGAAUGGAAGUGUACAUACACAAUAACCUGCCACCACCGACAUUAUUUAAUUUAACUGGUGCCUUUCUUUUUAUUUCCUCUUAGUGUGUUUAUUGCAGCCUAUACACCAAACUGGAAAAUAGGGAAAACCUACUUGUAGGCUGUGUCCCUGGGGAAUGAAGACCCGCCUACUUCCUGGUUUCUGGGGUGCUGACAUCUGUACCACCCAUUGGUUCCCUCUGUUUUCCACUCAACCAAUGGCUCGUCACCACGUUAAUUACCUCCGGCUCAUAAGGAGAGUCCACCUGUUGCUCCAGGCAGCUUGUCACCGCCUGUUGACUUGUGUGCCGCUGGUAUUGACUGGAUAGCCUUUCUGUUAGUUGUACUUUGUGUUUAGUGGAACUAUCCACCUUCCUUUCCUAUUAGCUGUACAUCGUGUUUAGGGAAACAUUUGCAUACCUUUGUAUGUUAGCUCCACAUUGGGUGCAGUGGAGAAAUUCACUUAUUGUUUUGUUUACUUUUGUGUUAGUUUUCACCUGGUGGAGUGGGUGCUGUGCUCUUUGUGUUCUUUUGUAGCAAGAAUCAACUCUGCUUAAAACGAUAGAUAGGUACAGGCCUCCUUUUGAGGACCUUUUUAUUUUAACUUGGUUUGUUAUUUUCGCAGCACCCUCGUCCACCCUCCUUUUGUUUUGUUUUUUGUUACCUGUCUACAUCUCUUCUGUUACCAAUAAACGUUACCUUGUUAAGAUCUA